AGUCGAGGGGUAUGCUUCUUCGGAAGCAGAGACCGGCGCACGGGUGCGUAACGCGUAUGCAAUCUACCUUUUACAGAGGGAUAGCCCAGAGAAAUUUGGAUUAAUACCUCAUAGUAUAGCAGUUUCGCAUGAAACCACUAUUAAAGUCACAACGGUAAAAGAUGAGCAUGCGUCCCAUUAGCUAGUUGGUAAGGUAACGGCUUACCAAGGCUACGAUGGGUAGGGGUCCUGAGAGGGAGAUCCCCCACACUGGUACUGAGACACGGACCAGACUCCUACGGGAGGCAGCAGUGAGGAAUAUUGGACAAUGGGCGCAAGCCUGAUCCAGCCAUGCCGCGUGCAGGAUGACGGUCCUAUGGAUUGUAAACUGCUUUUAUACGAGAAGAAACACUGCUACGUGUAGCAGCUUGACGGUAUCGUAAGAAUAAGGAUCGGCUAACUCCGUGCCAGCAGCCGCGGUAAUACGGAGGAUCCAAGCGUUAUCCGGAAUCAUUGGGUUUAAAGGGUCCGUAGGCGGUUUAAUAAGUCAGUGGUGAAAGCCCAUCGCUCAACGGUGGAACGGCCAUUGAUACUGUUAGACUUGAAUUAUUAGGAAGUAACUAGAAUAUGUAGUGUAGCGGUGAAAUGCUUAGAGAUUACAUGGAAUACCAAUUGCGAAGGCAGGUUACUACUAAUUGAUUGACGCUGAUGGACGAAAGCGUGGGUAGCGAACAGGAUUAGAUACCCUGGUAGUCCACGCCGUAAACGAUGGAUACUAGCUGUUGGAAGCAAUUUCAGUGGCUAAGCGAAAGUGAUAAGUAUCCCACCUGGGGAGUACGUUCGCAAGAAUGAAACUCAAAGGAAUUGACGGGG
rnacentral:rRNA from 1 species